AACGAACGCUGGCGGCGGGUCUUAAACAUGCAAGUCGAACGGUCAAAAUGAAGGUGCUUGCACCUGAAAGACGAGUGGCGAACGGGUGAGUAACACGUAGGAAUCUACCUUUGAGUGGGGGACAACCUUGGGAAACUGAGGCUAAUACCGCAUAAUCCCUUCGGGGGAAAGGAUGCUUCGGCAUUCGCUCUUAGAUGAGCCUGCGGGCUAUCAGCUUGUUGGUGAGGUAACGGCUCACCAAGGCGACGACGGCUAUCCGGCCUGAGAGGGCGAUCGGACACACUGGAACUGAGACACGGUCCAG
rnacentral:rRNA from 1 species